UAAAUGUUACAAAUCUAUAGAUAGGAAGAGAGAUGAUAAAUGGAUAGUAAUCUGUAUUCCCUCAUGUAAAGUUAUUCACUUUUUUGUCUUCCUUAGGAUGAUAUAUUUCCCUUCCAUCACUCAAAAAAAAACUAAGACAAAGUUUUAUGGACCAGCAGCAUAAACAAAAGAAAUUCCUUAUUUGGGAAUGAACAUUAAGAAACUGAGCAAAUAAGAUAUAUUGUGUGCUGGUCUCCCAAUUUGAUAGCACCAUCACUUUGCUAUAUAAGGAUGCAAGAGACUUCCAGGUUGCAGGACACCACCUACACUAGAUCCAGGAGCUAUAGAAUGAGUAGCUGCUGCUGGACGCUGGGAGGUGUCAAUGGAGGU
rnacentral:lncRNA from 1 species